AACGAACGCUGGCGGCAUGCCUAACACAUGCAAGUCGAACGAGACCUUCGGGUCUAGUGGCGCACGGGUGCGUAACGCGUGGGAACCUGCCUUUAGGUUCGGAAUAACUCAGAGAAAUUUGAGCUAAUACCGGAUGAUGUCUUCGGACCAAAGAUUUAUCGCCUUUAGAUGGGCCCGCGUUGGAUUAGCUAGUUGGUGGGGUAAAGGCCUACCAAGGCGACGAUCCAUAGCUGGUCUGAGAGGAUGAUCAGCCACACUGGGACUGAGACACGCCCAGACUCCUACGGGAGGCAGCAGUGGGGAAUAUUGGACAAGGGGCGAAAGCCUGAUCCAGCAAUGCCGCGUGAGUGAUGAAGGCCUUAGGGUUGUAAAGCUCUUUUACCCGAGAUGAUAAUGACAGUAUCGGGAGAAUAAGCGCCGGCUAACCCCGUG
rnacentral:rRNA from 1 species